UACGUAGGGUGCGAGCGUUAAUCGGAAUUACUGGGCGUAAAGCGUGCGCAGGCGGUGAGCUGUGUCCGAUGUGAAAGCCCCGGGCUUAACCUGGGAAUGGCAUUGGAAACUGGCUCGCUGGAGUGUGGCAGAGGAAGGUGGAAUUCCAGGUGUAGCGGUGAAAUGCGUAGAGAUCUGGAGGAACACCGAUGGCGAAGGCAGCCUUCUGGGCCAACACUGACGCUCAUGCACGAAAGCGUGGGGAGCAAACAGG
rnacentral:rRNA from 1 species